AGUGAACGCUGGCGGUAGGCCUAACACAUGCAAGUCGAACGGCAGCACAGGAGAGCUUGCUCUCUGGGUGGCGAGUGGCGAACGGGUGAGGAAUACAUCGGAAUCUACUUUUUCGUGGGGGAUAACGUAGGGAAACUUACGCUAAUACCGCAUACGACCUACGGGUGAAAGCAGGGGACCUUCGGGCCUUGCGCGAUUGAAUGAGCCGAUGUCGGAUUAGCUAGUUGGCGGGGUAAAGGCCCACCAAGGCGACGAUCCGUAGCUGGUCUGAGAGGAUGAUCGGCCACACUGGAACGGAGACACGGGCCAGACUCCUACGGGAGGCAGCAGUGGGGAAUAUUGGACAAUGGGCGCAAGCCUGAUCCAGCCAUACCGCGUGGGUGAAGAAGGCCUUCGGGUUGUAAAGCCCUUUUGUUGGGAAAGAAAUCCAGCUGGCUAAUACCCGGUUGGGAUGACGGUACCCAAAGAAUAAGCACCGGCUAACUUCGUGCCAGCCGCCGCCGUAA
rnacentral:rRNA from 1 species